AUCCAGCUGACGAGUCCCAAAUCGGACAAAACACUCAUCUUGGAU
rfam:Schistosoma mansoni strain Puerto Rico chromosome 1, complete genome